UUUAACUGCAAUUAUAAGUUUUCGCGUUAAUUUUAAUCGUCCAUCUUUUUUAAAUUAUUUUUAUAAUUAGUUUUUUAUGAAAUGAUAAAACAUGAUUAAAUAGUACUCUACUUGUGACUUAUGUUUUCAGUUUUUUUAAAAAAACAAUUCAAAUAAAACAGACGAUUAAAACUGGACUCGGAAAACUAUGGCUGUAUUUAAA
rfam:Oryza glaberrima chromosome 8 Oglab08_unplaced127_1, whole genome shotgun sequence.